rnacentral:rRNA from 1 species
UAGGGAAUCUUCCGCAAUGGACGCAAGUCUGACGGAGCAACGCCGCGUGAGUGAAGAAGGAUUUCGGUUCGUAAAACUCUGUUGUUAGAGAAGAACAGCGCAUAGAGUAACUGUUAUGCGUGUGACGGUAUCUAACCAGAAAGCCACGGCUAACUACGUGCCAGCAGCCGCGGUAAUACGUAGGUGGCAAGCGUUGUCCGGAUUUAUUGGGCGUAAAGCGAGCGCAGGCGGCCAAUUAAGUCUGAUGUGAAAGCCCCCGGCUCAACCGGGGAGGGUCAUUGGAAACUGGUUGACUUGAGUGCAGAAGAGGGGGGUGGAAUUCCAUGUGUAGCGGUGAAAUGCGUAGAUAUAUGGAGGAACACCAGUGGCGAAGGCGACUCUCUGGUCUGUAACUGACGCUGAGGCUCGAAAGCGUGGGUAGCAAACAGG